rnacentral:hammerhead_ribozyme from 1 species
GCACUGCUGACGAGUUUCAAAAACAGGACGAAACAGCUGUCCAGUGC